GGGGGAGCCGAGAACCAUCUCCGGAAGCUAGCGCCUAGACCAAUCCACCUCGCUAGCUUCGGAGAGACAUGGCGCCCUGGGCCAUUGCCAUCCACGGCGGCGCCGGUGUGGACCCGAACCUGCCGGAGCACCGCCAGGAGGAGGCGAAGCGCGUGCUGGCGCGGUGCCUGCAGACCGGCGUGGACCUGCUGCGGGCGGGCGCCACCGCGCUCGACGUCGUCGAGGCCGUGGUGCGCGAGCUCGAGACCGACCCCUUCUUCAACUCUGGCCGCGGGUCCGCGCUCACCCGCCGCGGCACCGUCGAGAUGGAGGCAAGCAUCAUGGACGGCCGCGGCCGCCGCUGCGGCGCCGUCUCCGGCGUCUCCACCGUCAAGAACCCCGUCUCCCUGGCCCGCCGCGUCAUGGACAAGUCGCCCCACUCGUACCUCGCCUUCGACGGCGCCGAGGAGUUCGCCCGUGAGCAGGUACGGUGGCCGCCCGCCGCCCAACUAAUCUCCGGAUUAAUCUCCCGUGCUCGUUACUUUUUCCUGCAUGAAUCGUGCAUGGCUUCUCUACCAUGCGAAACCACCGCUACCGAUUAAAGAAAUAUAAUCAUGUUUAAUGAGAAAAUUAAGAAUUUUUUUACGAUCCGGCGUAAUGGCUGGACAGGAGAGAAUGAGAUUUUGUUAAAAAGUCAAUAAAAAAUAGACUUUUAGAUCGACACGUGUGGAUGACGUGGGUGCAGUACGACCGGCUGCAAACAUGCAUGUGUCCAGCUGCAAACGUUUCUACUGAACGGCGGCUGGGGCCGUGUCUUGCAAGGUGAAUCUUCGCUGGCCAUGCAAAGAUUCUAUUUCUACAAGGCAAACGUCUGGUCAUGUCUAGGAAAGUUGCAUCGUAGCUUUUUGGCGGUUUAUUGGUUAGGCGAAAUCACUUGAUUUGGAUUGUCUUUUUCUUUGCCACCUUAUUUGUUCUUGCAAGCAUGGUUUGAUUACCAUGACAUGGUCGACGCUUAUCUAGCUUUACGUGGUCUAAUGGAAAUGCUUAUAUAGGACAGAGGUCUGUUUGGGUCAACAAGGCACGCAGCCUGCUUUGCAUGUGUAGGCUGCAUGCCUCGUAGCAUAUGCUAUUUUGCGUCUGGAAAUUGUCAUGGAGUCUUCUAGUUUUUUUUCCCUGUACAAUUGAUGUUACUAGGUUUUAAAACACCAUUUACCACUUGGUUUUCCAAAUUGUUUUAGUUAGCACUUGUACCAACCAAUAUCUUUAGUCCUUUUGAUUCGAGUCCUGGCUUUUUGUUUGUGCGAUACACCAGCACGUGCGUGUCCCCCUUUCGUCCCCUGGUCUUCGGAGACAGCUGGGGACCAUAUACCACUUCUUUGCACAUCACUUGAAAGCAACUGCGGCGUAAUUUGUUCACCGUUGCCAAAGAAAUCCGUCAAAAUAAGUAGUUGGUCAUUUCUUUAUUAUGUUUGGUUUUAAGCACGAUUUUGUUCUGUUUUUGGAGUAUUGUAUUGCAUACGUAGGAUAUUCAUUUUUUUCAUUUUAGAUAGAAGUGAGUUUUUUUUUGCUAAUCAAUUGCGCACUUAGUCCUGGACAGUAGGAAAAGAGUUUAGAAGAAAACAUUCGUCUCGUCGCGUCAUGUACUUAGCCGCCUCGCACCCACCAACCCCUACCAUUUUCUUCCGCUUUUCCCCUACUCUACAAGAUUUGCAGGAAGCUUGGCUACGAUAUUUCCAUUACCAUUCCAACUUAAACUUGUCCUCCGGUACAAAACUAAGAACCACAACCCUCCAAAGCUUUUUAAAAUUUUAAGAGUCAGAAUUGUGCAGCACCCACCAACACCAGGGCACCGCACAACCAUACUCUGCUUGUCUCUUGCGGAAACAAUAUUUUUUUUUCUGCAUGCAUGUGAUUUCCUCGCGGGCCGCACAUUCUUUUUUCACCUAAACAACAAGCAAGUGCGCGCGGCUGACCUGCUGUUCCACAGCUGUGGGCGACUCGUCACACAGUUCAUGAACCUAGGAAUCUAGGAUGGCUCCCGUGCUCCACAGCCUCACGAGCCGUGGCCCUCUGUUUUUUCUGCUCGGAAAUCAUGUGCCUGGCGGCCGUUGUUGGUGUGGGGGCAGCCGCCGAGGCCGCGCACCACGAAAUCCAGGCGGGCUCCGGGACCAGCUAGCUCCACUUGCCCCUGUCCGGUCUCGCGCCCGAGUCUGUCGCCUCGCCGUGGUCCACCGGACCGGACCGUGCCCAGCAACGAGAUCCGAUUCGCGUCGAAUCCUCCAGAUCUUGUGGUCAUAGACUGUACCUAGAGCGGCGUUUUAUAAUACUAGCUACUGAAAUGUUUCAAGGAUUAGUCUAACAGCCUUUUUGAAAUCUUUAACCUGAUUUCUGAUGUUGAUUUGAUCAUCUUGUAGGGCCUUGAGACUGUGGACAAUAGCUACUUCAUCACCGAGGACAACGUCGGCAUGCUCAAGCUCGCCAAGGAGGCCGGCACCAUCCUGGUUCGUUCUACAGUCAUCUGAUCAAUCGGCAUCGAUCGUGCAUUCAAAUCAGCAGUGAACUGACCAUUGUUCAUCAUUUCCCGUGCAUGCAGUUUGACUAUCGGAUCCCGCUGACCGGGACGGACACCUGCAGCUUGCAGGCCGGUGCGGACAGCAACCACAACCGCAACGGCAUGGUGAUGAACGGGCUUCCCAUCAGCAUCUACGCCCCGGAGACGGUGGGGUGCGCGGUGGUGGACUCGAACGGCUUCUGCGCGGCGGCCACCUCCACGGGCGGGCUCAUGAACAAGAUGACGGGGCGCAUCGGGGACUCGCCGCUCAUCGGCUCGGGCACCUACGCCUGCGACGCCUGCGCGGUGUCGUGCACGGGGGAGGGAGAGGCCAUCAUCCGCUCCACGCUGGCGCGCGACGUCGCCGCCGUCAUGGAGUACAAGGGC
rnacentral:lncRNA from 1 species